AGCUAAGUUUGUUAUUGGUAUGAGCUUUCGUGUGCAUGCACACUUCUUCAGAUAGGUAUCUGAAGGUAUAGGCAUCUGAAGAAGUGUGCAUGCAUACGGGAGCUCGUACCAAUAACAAACUUACUUGG
rnacentral:miRNA from 1 species